rnacentral:lncRNA from 1 species
CUCCUUCAUACCAGAAACUCUCUGAAAUCUUCCACAAUUUUCUUUCUAUCCUUGAGGUAUCAUUUUACAUGAGAGUUCUCAGUGGGUCUUUUCAAACUGGAGACUCAUGAUCAUGACAAUCUGGUGGAGUCCAGGGCAGGUUGUUCUACCUGGACAUCAGGCUGCAAUCACACAGCCAAGAGCAGCAGGACAAUAGAUGUUUGGGCUGGAGGCGUCACUUGCCCUCCAUGUCAUGCAGUUCUGGGGGAGCAGCCUGGACAAGUUGGGUGCCACCUUCUUAACCCUCUUUGGACUCCAGCGAAAGCUGCAUGUCACCCCCAGCUGGACUACAGAGAGUAACUUCUUGCAAACUGGAGUGAAAUACCACGUCUAGGACAGAGACACUGAUACAACCUAGUGACCUUAGCCCCAGUUCAUCAACCCCUGUCUUUGAAGCCGACCAAAUGGGAUUUCUGAGAAGGAAGUUACAGUAAAUUGAGAAAUAUCAUCGGAGCAUGGAGAACGGUGGGCUCGGAGGCCCGUGCUGGGAGCCACAGCUCAGUGUGGCACCCAGGCCACCUGCACCCUGGGCUCGGGGUCUCCUCCAUCCUGCAUGUGCCUGCUCUGUGUCCAGCUGGUGGGCAUCGGCUAUUCCUCAAGAAACCUAGCUUGGUCCACUCCUGUUGGACCAGGCUCUCCGCAUCUCCCUGGGCCUCCUCCUUCGGCAGGGGACAGGUCUGUGCUCCCUGGCUAACUCCAACUGACCUCCUUCCGGCCCUGCCUAGGCUCCUUGCAGGCAUCUGUGCCCCCACCUGAGCAUACCCAGAGCUGCAGCAACGGAAACUCCUUCCUCCAGGAGCCUCGGUGGGACCAAUGUGCACCUUCUUCCUCUUCAUCCUUCUCUACCCUGGGGUUCCAGCACCAUGUUCAACCAAGAGGAUAGGUUGGUGUUUAUCAAACGAAUAAAUGUUCUGAGAACAAGACCAGUCCUCUAAUUUACACUAAGAUGUAAAUAACAAAUAAGAUUUCCUGGGUGGUCCUUUGAGAAAGACCUGGCAUCCCUGAGGUAGGAUGAAGGUGGUGGAAAGGGUAAGAAACUUACACCUGGGAAGACUCAGGCCAUGGCUCUGGGACAGGCUGGACUGCUGCAGGUACUGAUGGGAGUUACUGACUGGGGUCAGGGGUGGGGAUAGGAUCAUCUCCCUGAGCCCUGUGCAGGGGACUGGAUGUCUGGUGGCCAAGAGGAGUAUACAGGAGUAGCACAUCUCUGGGAAAGGGCUGAACUAGAGAGAAGGGGAGGGUCCAUGCCAGCCUGAGGGAUGGGGUGGGCUAGGCCUUAGAAGAGGCAGGGGCGAAUGCCCAUGCCCUGGCUGCCACCCCUGAAAAGUUUCCCUAGCUGUGGCUCUGAUGACAGGCAGGCACUGGCAGGUUGCCGGGCUCCUGCUCCCAGCACAGCCGACCAUGGUGCCAAGCACUAUGCCUGCUGGGGUUGGCACAGAAGAAAGGCCCAGCAGGCCCUGGAAGCCCUCAAAGGCUGCUGCUUCUAUCUGGCGGCUGCACACAAC